UCUAGUUUACUUUCACUUUCGAUUUACUACUUCCGGGCAACAGUCGAAAAAUGUCACUUUGUUUUGCUUUGGUUAUGCUCAGAUGACAGCGUUAAAAUGAACCUACAGCCUAUAUAGAUUCCCUACUUAUGCAAAAAGAGGAAGAAGUGGAUUUAUAGAUGCAGAUGCCGUUAUAUACAUCGUUUCCUUCAGAAGUAUCAAUGUGUUGGUGGCUGUUAUGAAGAGAAUGGGCCCAUUUUAACAACUUCUAGGAUGGACAGUACAAGGGUUCAUACCAGUGAUCAAUUUAUCAUGACUCUUAUGAAGUUGCACCAAAAUCUAAGGGAUCUACAUUUAGCAGGCCAGAGGGCUCAAUGCCGAAUUUACCUCUGAAAGAAUCGCAAUGGAUACAACAAACAUAACACUGGAUUUAACUUUAAAAAUGAAUAACUAGUCAUUAUCUGACAGCAACUACAUUGUGCAAAAUUUGUCACACAGCAAAGGCUAUCACUUGUGUAGCACAAUUGUUCUGAAUUCUAUCCUGGAUCCACCUCUGAUGGUGACAUUGUUGAUCACUGAUGUGUAUUGGAUAUGUUGAAGCGAGAUAAUAUAUGAUUCUUGCUAAUAAAGGAUUUGAUAUAUUUGAUAAACUUUAAUCAGGAAUGACAUUGAACAUAACACCUUUUCUUUCAUCAAAAUCUCAUUUCAGUAAGGAUGAAGCACAGCUGUUACAAGACCAGGAAGAGUCAAAUUCAUGUAGAGUGUGCAAUUGAAUAAUUAAAAACAUCCAUAUUCUAAAUCAUAUACCUUCACAAUACAGACAUGUACAUCUGUCCACUAAGAUUUUCAACUCUGUGUGACCCUUGUCCAUUUGCAAAUCCUCUACUAAAGGAAAUAGCUGAUAUGAAUUCCACAAUAUAUUAAUCUUACCUUUGGACUUAGAUACUAUAAAUGUACAACUUCUUACUCACAUUAUUCUGCAUUGUCAAUUUAUAUUAAAUGCAUCCAAGUAAAUGAUAAAGUGAACAUUUAUUUGAGGUUGCUAGUCAAAGAAAUUGUUACAAUGGUGAUUCAUGCACAUCUUCACACUGAUCAUUUGUAGCAAAAACAAAAUAAAACUAAUGGAAGACAUUUGAAUUUUCACAAGUCUGUCUAGUUGGUUAUUGCAGAGAGGGCACAAAGGCUCAAUCAUGUAUGCCAAGUAUAAUUCCCAUAAUUCAUCUUGAAGAAUGAGAAUCACUUCCAUGUUCAUUGGUGUUCAAACUAUGAAACCACAAGUGGUGCCUGUGAGGUAAAGCUGAUGGAGAACUUGAUGCCAAUAACCAUGGUUCUCUGAGCUGCAGCGCAACUUCCGGGCUGCACU